rnacentral:rRNA from 1 species
GACGGAGGAUGCAAGCGUUAUCCGGAAUGAUUGGGCGUAAAGCGUCCGCAGGUGGCAGUUCAAGUCUGCUGUCAAAGAGCGAAGCUCAACUUCGUAAAGGCAGUGGAAACUACACGGCUAGAGUGCGUUCGGGGCAGAGGGAAUUCCUGGUGUAGCGGUGAAAUGCGCAGAUAUCAGGAGGAACACCGGUGGCGAAGGCGGAUCUCUGGGCCUGUCCUGACGCUCAGGCGCGAAAGCUAGGGGAGCAAACAGG